rnacentral:rRNA from 1 species
CCUACGGGGGACAGCAGUGGGGAAUAUUGGACAAUGGGGGGAACCCUGAUCCAGCCAUGCCGCGUGUGUGAAGAAGGCCCUCGGGUUGUAAAGCACUUUCAGUGAGGAAGAACGCCUGGUGGUUAAUACCCAUCAGGAAAGACAUCACUCACAGAAGAAGCACCGGCUAACUCCGUGCCAGCAGCCGCGGUAAUACGGAGGGUGCGAGCGUUAAUCGGAAUUACUGGGCGUAAAGCGCGCGUAGGUGGCUUGAUAAGCCGGUUGUGAAAGCCCCGGGCUCAACCUGGGAACGGCAUCCGGAACUGUCAAGCUAGAGUGCAGGAGAGGAAGGUAGAAUUCCCGGUGUAGCGGUGAAAUGCGUAGAGAUCGGGAGGAAUACCAGUGGCGAAGGCGGCCUUCUGGACUGACACUGACACUGAGGUGCGAAAGCGUGGGUAGCAAACAGGAUUAGAUACCCGGGUAGUC